AACAGAAGGUUCCCCUGUCCCCUCCAUUUCCAGACUGGAUGGAUGGGAGGCCAGAAAAGGGCAAUGGAGCAUGAUCCUUUCAUGCUCCUUUGCUGAUGCUGGAGAAGUGAUCCCACAGACGAGAUGGAAGGGUAUAGGAGGGGACACAGAGAAAGAGUUCUGUUGCUGCUUCUAAUGGUGGAAACAUUCACAAUGUCAAGCUGCCGUGCACUGAGUCGACACUUUCAGUGAGCUGUCCACCGUGAACCCAAGGUCUCUCCUGGUCUAACAAGCAGCAGGAAGCAGAGCUUGAAGAAGGUACUAUUGAAUCAGGAAAGAUUAACUGCAAAGAGGGGUUUGUAGGAGUGAGGAGCACCAACCCUUCCUGGAGCUCAGCUGGACCUGAUCCAAAACCAUGUCUGAGCUGGCUUCCCCCUUAUUCUGAGGAGGCCCCUCGGGACGGAUGCCCCAAGCAGACACGUGAUUACCUUGCCUCUGGUGUUGGGAGCUUGGCACUGGAAUGGCAUGGCCUCUGCUCCUGGGAAUGACAGGGUGGUUCUGAGGACAGGACAUGAAGCUUGCUGGAGAGCACCUCAGGGCUCCUCCAAAAGGAUAACUGCGGGAGAGGUGAUGAGCUCUGGCUACUCAGGGUCUGUCAGAUCUACGAAGCUUUCAUCAGGGUCAGAGGUCUUGGCUGGGAAGUACUCCUCCUCCAGGCUGGGGUUCAGGAGGGUCCUGACACUAACAGAGUUGUUGCAACUCUGGGAUAACCCCAAAUGGAAUAAACCCCACACAUGCCACCCUGAGCUCCUUGGAGGAAGGGUGGAUCCAAAUGUAUUUGCAGAACAUAUAAAUAAAUAAUUAAUGUAUCUAUAGAUACAUAAAUACAGAUAGAUAAAGAUUUGAGGAUGGAGAUGGAAUAGCAAUGCCCCACCCACCCUAAUUAAUAAUAUGAGCAAAAAUUAAACUGAACCAUUACCUUCCCGAAGUAACAAUGCCCGUUCAACAGAGCUAUUUGGUACAGCAAGGUCAAGAGCACAUUUGAAUUCAGAAUUUCUACACUGCAGGCUAGCUCCAUAGUCUGUUAACAAGUUGACAAUUUCUGCACUGGAUUUUCUAGCAGCUGCAUGGAGUGGGGUGUCCAGUCGUUUACCCAGAUCAACACUAGCUCCUUGAAGAGAAUGCAUGAAGAUUAAACAUUACAGGCAAGAAAGGUAUGGCUAUUAUGGAGCAAACUGAAGAGUUAUCAUUUUGUCACUUUGGACUCCUUGGAGGAAGAGUGGGAUAUAAAUAUUAUUAUUUCUUGUUUACACAGUCAGACAGGUGCUAGUGACUGGUUUGCCAAUCCAGACAUCGAGUCCUUCCCAAGGACCUGGGAUGGCUGAAUUUUAUCAUCAAUACUGUUGGUUAUUAUAGAUAUCGUCGCAAAAUAUAGGCUGUUCCAAGUAAAGCUGCUUUUUGUAAUUGGCUGAUGAUGGUGAUUUCUGUGAUGGUGAUGGUGAUUUCUGUGAUGGUGAUUUCUGUGAUUUCUGUGAUGAUUUCUGUGAUUUCUGUGAUGGUGAUUUCUAUUUAUUAUUAUUAUUAUUAUUAUUAUUAUUAUUAUUAUUAUUAUUAUUAUUAAAAAUGAUAAUUAAUAAAACAAGACAAAUACUGAAAUUGGAUUUUCUCUUUAAAAAUGAUUUUUAAAAAAACAGCAAAAGAUUUACAUAUAUAAUGAAUAAAUAAGAAUAUGGGUAGGAAGAAGAGAAUCAGUGCUGGACAAUUGUCCAAACCGCACAAAUGUCAUUUCAAAUGCAUCAGGAAUAACUGGAAGAUUAAAUUAAAGGAAGCAUACUUUAAACAUUUAGUAAAACCAAAAUACCACCUUUAGCCUGUAGAGGGCUCCUAUUCCUUUAAUAACUGACUGACUGCAAGACGUUUAAGAUACAGAGCUGCUUCUUCACAGCAAUUCAGUGGCAAGAAAAGCCAUAAAGAUUCCCAAAAGUAUCUUCGGUCAGCAUGAAUAAAUAAGGUGGGGAAGUAUGAUGUAAAUUGACUUGAAACAAUAGCUAUAUGCAUUAUGUUGUGUGUGCAUUCAGGUGUCUGUAAUAGAUGUAUAUGUUUUUGUGUGAAUGACUGUAUGUGUGUGCAUUCAUUUUAAACGUGAACAGGCUCCCACAAAUGCAGGGUACAGACAAGGAAGAGUACUGUUGACAAUGAGAAUAACUGUACGUAUGAAGGGAGACGGCCUUCAUUUCCUUUCUUUGCAACCAGAGUCUGCUGCCAGCCCAACCAGCUUCAUGAAUUGGUGAAGCAAAGUGAUUCUCCAGUUCUGGCCUGGCACCAUAUUCAAGGAGCAUGUUGACACACGCUGCACUGCCACUACAGCAAGCAUUGAAGAGAGGUGUGAUCCC